GGACAUGUUUGUUUAAAUUAUUAUUGUCUUUUGUUUUGUUUGGGUGCAGUGUCUAGAUAAACCUUUAAAACCACAGUACAAUGGAGGAAUCAUCGUGAACCCUGACCUACGAGAUGGUCCACAAGCUUGGUUACCAUUUGGAAACGCAAAAAUCGAAUUUAAAGAUAUUGGACACGAUAAAUUUGUUGUUGCACGAGAGAGGAAACAGCCUCAUGACAGCGUCUCACAGAAGGUUCAUCUGGAAAAGGGACGUCUCUACACUUUUUCUGGUAAAAAUAAAAAUAGGUUUUUCUGUUUCUUGGAGCAAACUCUUUCGAAUUUUGUAAACCCUAUCAGAACAAUGGCCUGCUUUGUUUUCUGCAUAUAAGUUAUAAUGUACAUAAAUAAAAAAAUAUAUGUUCAUGGUUUAAGUUUUCUUAAUAUUAAUCUAUUAAUAAAUAAAAUUAUCUAAACAUGACCUAUAAUUUUUUCUUUAAACGAAUAAAUGAAACCGGAUGAGAAAAAAAUAUCCACACCAAAGAAUGAUAUUACAAACCAUGAAAUAUAAUUGAAAACCAUAUAGAUAAUUUUUUUCAAAUAUAUAAUAUUAUAAUAAUUAUUAAAUUACACAACAAACCGAAUUAUUAGAAUAUUUCAGAUAUUUAUAAAUUUAUAACAACAUUGUCAUGAUCAAUUUUUUUAAUAUAAUCUAAAAGCAUGAAAAUAUAAGACAUGAAUCAUGUGUUAGUGGAACAUAUAUAAUAAGAAAUGCAGUUUUCCAAAUAAAAUAAAAACGUGUUUUUCAGUUUUUUGUCAAACAUAUCUUAAUUUUCAUUUAGUAAAACAAAAUUAAGACUAAUUAUUUCAUUAUUUCAUUUAAGAUUUUUUGCUACCCAAACUCAAGUGACUCUUAAAAUUACUAAUUGUAGAAAGACAUUUAUUAAGAUAUUAUAACUGUUUUUAAAAGAAUCUUUUUUGUUAAGAUGUUAUAAAUAAUUUAAAAAAAAUAAUAAUAAAUGUGUGUUAAAUAAAUACAAAAGGACACUUAUUGUGAAUUUUAACUAUUUUAAAAAACAUUUCUAAUAGUUGCACAUUGGAAAAAUAAAAAUAAUCAUUGUUUUUUUAAUGAAAAGACACAAUUUUUGUAAUAAGAAGAUGCAACUUUUAAAGUUAUUAAUUGUAGAAAGACUCUUAUUAAUAUAUUAUAACUGCUUUUUAAAAGAAUUCACUUGUUAAGAUGUUAUAACUAAUUAAUUUUUUUGUAUAUUUGCAUGUUGAAAAAAUGCAAAAAAAAACUUAUUGUGAUAUUUUAAUUAUUUUAAAAAACGUUUCCAAUAGUUGCAUGUUGGAAAAACAAAACUAACCACACUUUUUAUGAAAUACACAAUAUUUAUUAUAAGAAAACAAAACUCUUACAAUUAUUAAUUGUAGAAGAAAACUAUUAAUAUACUACAUAACUACUUUAAAAAAGAAUCCAAUAGUUACGUGUUGAAAAAAAUAAAUCUAAUUUCAGUUUUUGUGAAAAGACACAACUCUAAACAUUAAAUGGGAUUGGGUUAACUGUCUAAAACCUCCUCUACUAAACAAAUCAACACUCAUUCCCCCAAACUAUUGUACUCGUCGAAAACCCACUUAUAUUAUUUGAUACAAAUAAGUUUCUAACUAAUUCCACAUUUGGAAUUGAAAACAUGAAAUGGCGUUUAAUUCUCCCUAAUGGCGUCUGGUUACGAUUACCCAUAAUCCAAAAUCCGAUCCGAUACAAACUACAAAUAAACGUCGCCUUGGGCCCUUUCCAGCGAAUCUCCACCGUCAAUCUCUCCUUCUCCGGCUCCCUCGCCAGAUCCCACCCUUCUAAUCUCCUCACGGAUAGCUUCACCACGUAUUUCCUCGUAACUAACGGCGGCCAUGGCCGCCACUUCAUCAUCAUCACCACCAUUGUAACUCCUAAGCGACGUCACGAAAAGAGAGAUUGAAGAGAGGUAAACAAACUCUUUCUCAAGUAGUUGAGAAAAAAACAAGAAAAAUAAAAAAAAAAGUUUUUUUAUUUAGCUUGUUGAUUUAGAUCAAUGUCCAGAAAUAGAAAGCACGUUUUAGACACAGGAAGCUUUUAGGAUGUGGUUUCUAUCUUGGAUAGAUUAAAACUUGGAAGUUUAGCUUCUUCUCUGGUAAAGAUGAAAAAGUUUAUGGUGCGAAGAGAGAAGAGAGAGAGAGAAAGUGGAGACACAGAACGCAGCACAAGCGUGUAGACACAGAGAGACAACAAAGAAAAAUGAAAAGAAAGAUCAUAGCUUCACAGAUCUGUCCCUCUUUCUCUAACGAACGAUAGACUCGUUGGAAUAAACCAGCAAACCGGAGUUAAAAUGUAUUGGUUAGAGGCGCAUGCCAUUCUUUAUUCUAUGUCCAUCGCACUUUAAGACAUCCUCCAAACAUGUGACACGAUCGAUCCUAUCGUUACAAGAUCACGCAUACAAGUCAGUUUGAAUUUCUAAAAUCUAAAUGAUGGUUUUAUGCGACAACGUUUGACAACUAAUGUGCUUCAUGCCACUGGAGUGCGGUGGUCACUGGCCCUAGCUAUUCUUCACACUAAAGGAACAAGCAGUAUCUAAUGCAUCACGAUUCAUGCAUGAUCAUUCUUUUUUCUAUCGCAUAAUAAUUUAGCCAACCCACUUUAUAUAUAUCAGGAGGAAUUCUUAAAUUGUGAUUAGCAUGACUCGAGAUUCAUUGACUUGUUUCACACAUCACAGCCACAUGCCUAUUAUUUAAUUUGCUCAUGAGUUAUGAAGCCUAUCUGCUUUAUUUAAACACGACGAAUACCAUUGCGAUUGCUUUAUUAAAAGAAAAAUAACAAUAAAAUAUGAGAGAAACGAAGAAGACAAUGCUUUCCAGAUUUCAAGUGAAAGAAAUUAAUUUUUUUUCUUUAGUGUAUUGUUUAGUUGGAGACAAACCUUUUCAUCUAAUUGUUUCGUUUAGGAUUUUUGGCUAUCCAAACACGUAAAACUUGUCCUACUAUUUUUUGUUGACAAUGUUUUAUUUGAAUAUUUUCUAAAAAAUUUGUAAGCAAAAAUCUGCAUAGAUGUUUUUUUUUCACCAUUUUAUAAUUAGUGCAAUUAGUGCAAAUUUUACUUUGACAAAUGCAUAGACAUCGACUAUUUAUAGAUUUUAAAAAUCUAUUUGAAUAGUUACAUCUUUUCAGUUUAAAUAGUCACAUCUUUUUUAUUUAAAAAUAAUUAUUUUAAAAAGAUAUUUAUAUAAAUAGUCACAACUUUUCACUUUUAAAAAUAUACUUAUAUGAAUUUUAGAAAAGACACAACCUUUUACACAUCUUGUUAAAAAGACACAACAUUUCAACAUAAGUAGAUUCACAACUUUUAGAAUUAAUCAGGAUUGCUAUUAUUAGUAGAUAGAGACAAACAAAUCACCAAGAUUUAAUUAUCAUUUUAUACAAAAUAUCUAAUUUGUAAAAACAGGAAUUUAUUAUCAUUUUAUACAAAAUUAAUAAAUCCUUUUCAUUGAUAUGAAAUUGUGUCAACAUAACAACGAGUCGACAUUAGAGGAAACAAAAUAUUCUGGGAAGUAGUCCUCGUUUAGAUAUAUUUAGAAUGAAAAAAAGAGGAACUAAACCAAUGUAUCAAUACUUAACCACAAGACUAAACCAACAUAACUGAAACAUAUAUAACCGGAUAAAUGGCUUCACUGAUAAUAUUUAAGAUUAAUUUUGUCAUUUUGUGUGUUUCUUUUAGGAACUUUAUAGUUUACAUAUCUAACUGUUGAUUAUUGACUAUUUUUGUUUACUUUUUUUCUGUCAACUAUACUUUUGUUUAUUAUGUACGCACUAGACUAAAAUUUCCUUGCUAAAAGUUUUGAGUCUUUGAAAAUCACUUACAAUUUUAAGAUGGUGUUUCUAUUGAUAGUUCAUGGAUAAAUAUAUUGAAUUUUAUUUACCAAAACUAGUAUGUUUAAAAGUUGAUAAUAGUUAAUAUUUAUCAAGGUAAUCAAGAUUAGUAAAGCUUGUUUUUUCGUUUUUUUUUGGUUUAGUAAACUUCUUUUUGUUCAUCAAUUAUAUCAAGAUCUUCAAGAAUAGUAUAGAUUUCUUACUAUAUCAAGAUCUUGGGAGAGUCAUAAAAAUACGAUCAACAAAAACAAAACUUCAUUAUCAUCACAAUGAAGCGUCUUCUUCUGCAGCUGCUUGCCCUCUGGAGCUUUUCUCUAUCAAGUUGUUCUCCAUCUUAUCAUAUGAUUCUUAUUUUCUUCUACUUUUUAAUAUUGAAUAUUUUGUUUAUGUUUGAAAACAUUUGCAGGAUGUGAAUCAACGUUUGUACCGUAUGAUUAUUCUGCAACCGUAGAGGCAAGCAAUGUUAUGUUCAAUUUUCUGAAGUUGGACAUGUUUGUUUAAAUUAUUAUUGUCUUUUGUUUUGUUUGGGUGCAGUGUCUAGAUAAACCUUUAAAACCACAGUACAAUGGAGGAAUCAUCGUGAACCCUGACCUACGAGAUGGUCCACAAGCUUGGUUACCAUUUGGAAACGCAAAAAUCGAAUUUAAAGAUAUUGGACACGAUAAAUUUGUUGUUGCACGAGAGAGGAAACAGCCUCAUGACAGCGUCUCACAGAAGGUUCAUCUGGAAAAGGG
rnacentral:lncRNA from 1 species